rnacentral:tRNA from 1 species
UUCCCUGGCAGUCCAGUGGUAGGACUUGACACUUUCAUUGUUGUGGCCUGAGUUCAAUCCUUGGCUGGGAAA